UACGGGGGGGAGCAAGCGUUGUUCGGAUUUACUGGGCGUAAAGGGCGCGUAGGCGGCCACCGCAAGUCAAUUGUGAAAUCUCCGGGCUUAACUCGGAAAGGUCAACUGAUACUGUCGUGCUAGAGUGCGGAAGGGGCUACUGGAAUUCUCGGUGUAGCGGUGAAAUGCGUAGAUAUCGAGAGGAACACCUGCGGCGAAGGCGGGUAGCUGGGCCGACACUGACGCUGAUGCGCGAAAGCCAGGGGAGCGAACGGG
rnacentral:rRNA from 1 species